UACAGAGACUGCAAGCGUUAUUCGGAUUCACUGGGCGUAAAGGGCGCGUAGGCGGUCAGCACAAGUCAGUUGUGAAAUCUCCGGGCUUAACUCGGAAAGGUCAACUGAUACUGUGCGACUAGAGUGCAGAAGGGGCAACUGGAAUUCUCGGUGUAGCGGUGAAAUGCGUAGAUAUCGAGAGGAACACCUGCGGCGAAGGCGGGUUGCUGGGCUGACACUGACGCUGAUGCGCGAAAGCCGGGGGAGCGAACGGGAUUAGAUACCCCACGUAGCUCACGAACCAGUC
rnacentral:rRNA from 1 species